AUGGGCACCCCUCUUUCGCGCACAACCACCCUGAACUGGCAUGCCCUGGGCCUGCCACGGCUGGACUUGACACAUUUAGAGCUCCCUUUCUCUGAGCAGGAAUUACGGGAUGCGGUGACUGACAUUCAUGGGGAGAAGGCUCCUGGGCCAGAUGUCUUUACUGGUGCCUUCUAUAAGCGAUGUUGGCCGACUAUUAAGGGAGACUUGCUUGCCGCUGUCAACUGUGUGCAUUCUUUGCGUGCUCAAAAUUGGAGGAUAGUGAAUACGGCAAAUUUGGCUCUUCUUCCCAAGAAAGAUGGUGCCCGAGAUGCAUGUGAUUUCCGUCCUAUUAGUUUGAUGCACAGCGUUCCCAAGAUUUUGAGUAAGAUGUUGGCUGCUAGGCUGGCCCCGGAAAUCCACAAGCUUGUCUCGCACAACCAGAGUGCUUUCAUUAGAGGGCGA
rnacentral:rRNA from 1 species